rnacentral:rRNA from 1 species
GAUGAACGCUGGCGGCGUGCCUAACACAUGCAAGUCGAGCGGCAGCGAGGGGUGCUUGCACCCUGUCGGCGAGCGGCGGACGGCUGAGUAACGCGUGGGAACGUGCCCCAAAGUGAGGAAUAACUGCCCGAAGGGGUAGCUAAUACCGCAUAUUAUCUUCGGAUCAAAGGAUUUAUCCGCUUUGGGAGCGGCUCGCGUCGGAUUAGGUAGUUGGUGAGGUAAUGGCUCACCAAGCCGACGAUCCGUAGCUGGUCUGAGAGGAUGGCCAGCCAGACUGGAACUGAGACACGGUCCAGACUCCUACGGGAGGCAGCAGUGAGGAAUCUUCCACAAUGGGCGAAAGCCUGAUGGAGCAACGCCGCGUGCAGGACGAAGGCCUUCGGGUUGUAAACUGCUUUUAUAAGUGAGGAAUAUGACGGUAACUUAUGAAUAAGGAUCGGCUAACUACGUG